CCUGGUGUUACUGACCUCCAGACGUGCCUCCGCUGCUUCACAGAGCAGAAGCAGGAGCAUUCCCAGGGACCAAUGUCCUUAUUCCAGGGUUCAGCACCACCGGUGUGAACAAAAUAAAAGCCUUCAGUGAAUUCACUGCUAAGAUGUUUCUCAACUCCUGGCAAACCUUAUGGCAAAAGCAAAAAAGUGUUUUUAACACUGACGUGCAAAGCUUAAGAAAAGAGCUAUUGUCUCAGAAGACAGAGGCUGACAACUGAAUCGGUGAAACACAUAGUUAUCUUCCAUUUGGCUUUAAACUCUAUCGUUCUGUCUUCUUCCCUCAAACUAGCUGGACUGCACAGUUGAGCCUCUGAGUCAGCCCACCAAACUAUCAGAAAACUAACCCAGCAGAAGUGAAUCACUUCCACGUGAAGCUGGAAUUAGAGCAUGACUGCUUCACACGUAACCAACCUUCAGGCCCCCCCGGAAAGCUGAGCUCCAGGAUUGAGUUGAAACAAGAAACCAGAGGCCCAGGCUUUGUGAGACAGCUUGAAGAAAAGGAGUACCAGAAGUGCUUAGGGCAGAAAACUAGAACUUGUGGGACAACAGGACGUGAAUUGGACUGUGAUGUUGCUUCCAGGCAAAAAGCACCU